UGGAGACGAGGGAUAAGACGAGGAGAAAGUGUCAAAUGGAGGAGGAGGGAAGGAGGCCAGGUAGGGAAGGAAGUGAGGCAGCACUUGGAGUCAACUGAGAGUAGGGUGGCCGGGGUUGAAAUAGACAUAAAUAUACAUCACUUUUCUGCCGUAUGCGUGUAUGAGAGGACAGUUUCUGAGGCUGAAGAAGUUGAAACCAGUGAAGGUAAAAUAACUAGACGUGGCUGGAGGUGAGACAGGGAGCAAGACAGCCAGAGAGCAAAAUCAGUUCAGAAAAAGAGACAAGGGGAGUCGUUUGCUUCUCCUGCCCAUGGAUGUAAUGCUAAUUUGGACACAGGCCAGCGUCCAAUCAGACAACGGGACCGAAGGCCUUGUCAUAACGGCAACCAUGACAUCACUGCAAGUGACCUCACAGGACGACACGAUCAAUAAUCCAGGACAAGGCAUGAACCGGAUGGCAAAGGAGAACUGGUGAAACCUGGAGUCAGGAGGAGAACCAGAGAUGGAGCGUGAAGGAGCGCUUGCUGUCGGUGGCGUGAGCCGUUUCCAGGUGAAGCAAACUGAGUUCAAUUGGAUCGAGCUGAACUGGUCUGAACUGGAACGACCCGAACUGAGCUGGAACGAAAGCUUCAUCUGGACAGGAUCCCGACUGGCUGGCUGAGGACUUUGGGAACAAAAUGUCAGGCAGAGAAAAAAACGUUGAAAUAAUAACAGUUGUAACCUUCCAUAAUUUAUGCCAGUCGUUAGGGGUGUUGGUCACAUGACUUUCAUGCGGCUGUCAGAUACAUAUCUCUCUCUUUCCCCCAAAAACCUUCUCAGUGGGCAUUCGUAGAAAUAAUUUGUCAAGUAGUAACACAUGAGAAGCGUGUUACAUUGAAUCUUCUCAAUGCAAUAAAAAAAACUGAAGCGGCUAAAAUGAUCACAAAACAUCUGUAAGUGAUUGUUGAUAAUGUUUCAUUGUAUUGAUCCCUGUGGGGACAUUCUUCUCUGCAUUUUAACGCAAAAGUGAAUUCACACAAAUAUUCCGUCUCCCUCUCUGUGUUAAAUGCCUCAAACGUCUCUUUCUCUGUCACUCUUCACUCCCGUCAACGUGUAUGAAUAAUAAUUUACUAAAAUGAUUCACACCAUCUUUAUUUCAUCUUUGUGGUUACGGUUGCUUCAUUUUGGAUUUAAGUUCUAGAAAUGUGUCUUGAACGGAAAAUACACAUGAGCAAAAUGUGUGUGUUCAAUAAAUGUAUCCAAUAAUGCUAAGUUAUUCAACGUUUUAGGUGUUUGUGGUGAUAAAUUGAGCCUCACGGUUCCACAAUACAAACCAAAGAACUUUAAUUUGGAUCAGGUUGUACCUGCUCUCUCUCAUCUCCAUCACCUUCUCUCUUCCUCGGUCUCUGUCUCCUCAUCUUGUCUCCUCAUCGCACGAAGUCAGACACAAUAGUUUUGUUGUCAUAGGUCUUGAAAAGUUCACAAUUUUAUUUAAAUAUCUUGAAAACAUACUUGGAGUAUAUAUAGUAAAUAUUCAUAAGCAUCAAAACUUCAAAAGCUUCUAAAAUCAAUAUAUUUUAUAAUAAUGAAUAAUACAUAGAAAAGGUAAAGGGGUCGCUUGUAGUCAUUAACCUCCUGAAUAUGAUCACCUGGAUCUGCAGCUCCUUUUAUAUUAAGUUCUAGCUAAUUGUUGUUGUUGUUUUGAAGCUUGUUUCUAAAGCUUUCUGUACUCGUUUGGAGCUGAAUAUGAAUCUACAUCUGUAUCCUUAGCGUUUCAUUUCAUAUACAUUCAAUAAAGAGGAAAUGCCUCUAGCUCUGACACUAUGUGUCUUAUUAUUCUAUAUCUGGAAGAAGGUGACUCUGAAGCAGUGUGCUUCAAUGCACUUGAGCAAGUGUUGUGCAAGGACACACAACAUUUCUACACACACACACACACACAGAACAGAGAACAGUAGCCCCUGGCUAUCUGCAGCACUGAGUGUAAAUGAUCGUAGAGCUGUGGUCAUAACGCACAGCCCUACAGGCUACUGAUGGAAGAUGACACCCAAUGUCUGUGUGUGUGUGUGUGUGUGUGUUGGGGUAUGUGUGUGUGAGAGAGUCAUUUUAGACUCUUCAUGUCGCUUCCCUUCCGUCUCUCCUCCUCCUCCUCCUCCCUGUUGAUGCCUCGGGUGAUGAAACUGACUCUGUUGUAUCAGCCGUCCUCUUCCCUCCUCCCUUCUACACAUUCAUUUGUUUGCCCACCCUCUAGAGCCACAUUAGUGUGUGUUUAACCGUAUUGAUUAGGUCUUGUCUAUUGAUACAGAUCAGAGUGAUCCAUCACUGAUAUCUAUGCUUGCGGGGCGGAGAUGAGUUGAUAUUGAUGGAUGAACUGAUUAAUCAGUAAGCGUGGCGGAGUGAAGCGCUUGGACAAACAAACACAGAGGGACAAUGGCCCGGUUUUACCUGUGGGAUUAAAACUCAUUUACAAGGAAGACAUCUAUUUGUUUCUUUCAAAUUCAAGAGCAGAAAUGUUUCACAAUAAAAGUUCAACUGUUUUUCUUUUCUAAGAAGGAUUAAAAAAAACUUGUAUGAUCAGAAAUGUCAAAGCUAUACUUGUUGAGUCUUUGUGACAUGGAUGAACAACCAGCAAGUGUUGAGUGGUAAAGACAAGAAGUUUGUAUCAGUGAUGUCUGAAAUGAAUCAUUCUGCAUACAAAGUACUUUUGGAAUUAAAGUAUAUUUUGAUGCUCAUACUUUUGAACUUUUAGUCAAGUAAGUCAUUUUAGUGCAGGAAUUAACCUUGGAACAGAGUAUUUCCACACUGUGGUAUUGGUAAGUGAGACAUCUAGGUUAUUCCAUAUGCUGAGAUUCAAUAUAAAAACACUUCUCAUGUUUAUUAUAUUUUUUUCACUACACCUGAGCACACUCUUCUCUCUGCCUCUGCAGACAUCUUCCUCGGUGUGUACUAUCACCAUGGAUACAUAAGUUGGUCGAUCCAAAAAACUAUCUUCAGGAAAUAGCUGUGUUUAUGGUGUCUUGUAAUUGGCUGUACAUGUUUGUAACAACCUGAAAUAAAUGUCUAUGUCAAGACAA